rnacentral:rRNA from 1 species
UACGUAGGGUGCAAGCGUUAUCCGGAAUUAUUGGGCGUAAAGAGCUCGUAGGCGGUUUGUCGCGUCUGCUGUGAAAACUGGAGGCUCAACCUCCAGCCUGCAGUGGGUACGGGCAAACUAGAGUGCGGUAGGGGAGAUUGGAAUUCCUGGUGUAGCGGUGGAAUGCGCAGAUAUCAGGAGGAACACCGAUGGCGAAGGCAGGUCACUGGGCCGCGAACUGACGCUGAGGAGCGAAAGCAUGGGGAGCGAACAGG